rnacentral:rRNA from 1 species
AUUGAACGCUGGCGGCAUGCUUUACACAUGCAAGUCGAACGGUAACAGGGAGCUUGCUCCGCUGACGAGUGGCGAACGGGUGAGUAAUGCGUCGGAACGUGCCGAGUAGUGGGGGAUAACGCAUCGAAAGGUGUGCUAAUACCGCAUACGAACUGAGGUUGAAAGUGGGGGACCUUCGGGCCUCACGCUAUUCGAGCGGCCGACGUCUGAUUAGCUAGUUGGUGAGGAACAGGCUCACCAAGGCGACGAUCAGUAGCGGGUCUGAGAGGAUGAUCCGCCACACUGGGACUGAGACACGGCCCAGACUCCUACGGGAGGCAGCAGUGGGGAAUUUUGGACAAUGGGCGCAAGCCUGAUCCAGCCAUGCCGCGUGUCUGAAGAAGGCCUUCGGGUUGUAAAGCUCUUUUGUCAGGGAAGAAACACCGGCUCUAACACAGUCCGGGAAUGACGGUACCUGAAGAAUAAGCACCGGCUAACUACGUGCCAGCCGCCGCAGUAAAAC